rnacentral:lncRNA from 1 species
AGGAAUUGAGAGAGUGCAUGCAAUUUUUUACAUGUUCAGAAUUAAGACUAACCGUGACAUUGACAUUCUGACAAGCUGGUUUUUGGUAAACCACAACUACUGAUCCAAUGUUAUCAUGGUGAGAUCGAAGUCGUGCAUUUUACCUAUACUUGACCUAUGUUUGGUGUUAUUAAGAUAAGUUCCAUAGUCCAUACUUGGAAUCUCAAUUAUGGAUGGCGCGCACUUGGAAAAUAAAACCCUACCUCAAACUUGCUUCAACAUCUGAAAAGUGGUAUAGGUAUAUCAAAUGCAAGCUUCACUUGUAGUCUUAUAUAGUUACAUUUCAAGCCAGGAAUCUUCAUCUUGAAAGCAAAAUGAAUUUUUUUUUUGGUAUUUCUGUUAUCAGUUUUUCCAUUCUUAUGGGACAAGCAAGUAGUUCACUAUAUGAAAAUACAGGACUGGCAUGCAACAAAUGUUAGAGAAACAGGUCUGACAGAUCCUGUCAGACCAUUUCCUUGAUUGAAUGAACUAAGUGUGGAAA